rnacentral:rRNA from 1 species
GACGAACGCUGGCGGCGUGCUUAACACAUGCAAGUCGAGCGAUGAAGCACCUUCGGGUGUGAAUUAGCGGCGAACGGGUGAGGAACACGUGAGAAAUCUGCCUUCAACACUGGGAUAACUCCGGGAAACCGGGGCUAAUACCGGAUAUGAAACCUGCGGGCAUCCGCGGGUUUGGAAAGUGUUUCGGUGGAAGAUGAUCUCGCGGCCUAUCAGCUGGUUGGUGAGGUAGUGGCCCACCAAGGCGAGGACGGGUAGCCGGCCCGAGAGGGCGACCGGCCACACUGGGACUGAGACACGGCCCAGACUCCUACGGGAGGCAGCAGUGGGGAAUAUUGGGCAAUGGAGGAAACUCUGACCCAGCGACGACGCGUGCGGGAUGAAGGCCUUCGGGUUGUAAACCGCUUUCAGCAGGGAAGAAGCGAAAGUGACGGUACCUGCAGAAGAAGCACCGGCUAACUAUGUGCCAGCAGCCGCCGUAA